CUUGCAGAAUCUUGAAAUCAGUCUUUUCGGUACUCAGCUGCAAGCUCAUGAAAGCCAAACUUUUCAAAGAUAUCACUGACGAUUCGGCUGGCAAUGAAUGAAAAGGCAGAUGCCCCAAACGCCAUUCCGGUGUAUUCAGCCAUGGUCCUGAGUUUUUGCAUGCGGAAAGCGUAGGCUUUGGCAAAGGAGAGAGAGAUGACGCAGACCAGAGAUGCAGCAAGAACAACCGCAGCUUUGUAGUGUCCCUUGUCGGUUAUUCUGUAAGAGAAGGCGUAGCAGAGAGGAGGUAUCACACCGAAGAAGAAGAAGGAAAGCACAACGACGACGCAGUGGAGCGUGAAGUUCCUUUUGUUUCCCAGCAGUGUUUGGCAAAAAAAAGAAAGGAAACAAAACGACUUACGUUGUUACAGAUAAUAAUAAGGCCACUGGAUAGACUCGCUAGCCCCAAAGAGAUAACGUUGACUGCAACUCCGGAAGCGACAGCGGAGGAUACGACACCGAGGCUUGUGAUGGACUCGAUAAGACCUCCGUACACAAUACUCUUCAAGAUGUCUAGCUCUCUUGGUAAGUGGUUUUGAACUAGAACCACGAUAUAUUUCAACAUUGGUAAGUGGUUUUGAACUAGAACCACGAUAUAUUUCCACAUUUCCUUUGGAUUUGGCACUGAAAUAGGAAUGCUGAUUGGUUUAUCAUGAUCCUCUGUAAGUAACACUGGACUAGGGUCAUCGAUUGGUUUAUCACUAACAUCAGGUUCCCGGGUCGGAUCCACAUUGGAUUUCCACAAAACAUCUGGAAGUGGCACUGAAAUAGGAAUGCGGAUUGGUUCAUCAGGUGCACGAGGCGGAAACAAGAUGGGAAACAAAGGUUGAAGUCAUCAUUCCAACACAGAAUCAGAGAGUUGAGGGAAAAAGUGCGAUACCUUUGUUAUCCAGCUGAGUAUUAGGCGUGAUGGUUUCUUCGCUCCUAGAUGUGUUUUUGUCAUCUUAAGCAAAUAAAUGAGAAAGAGGGUCAGGGAAAGAUGACAAAGAUGAUGAUCUCCUGUUAUAGUAAUUUUACAUGUGAAAAUACCUAGAGCUUUAUCUGUACUACUAAGACGGGGUUGAGGUUUUAUAAAAGUUUGUGGAAUAACUCUUUUGCUCCCUACAAUAUAUAUAUAG
rnacentral:lncRNA from 1 species